rnacentral:tRNA from 1 species
GCCGAAGUGGUGGAAUGGCAUACACGCUGGUCUCAAAAACCAGUGUCCUCACGGACGUGUGGGUUCGACUCCCACCUUCGGCA